GGUAAAGGCUCACCUAGGCGACGAUCCGUAGCUGGUCUGAGAGGACGACCAGCCACACUGGAACUGAGACACGGUCCAGACUCCUACGGGAGGCAGCAGUGGGGAAUUUUGGACAAUGGGCGCAAGCCUGAUCCAGCCAUGCCGCGUGAGUGAAGAAGGCCUUCGGGUUGUAAAGCUCUUUCAGCCGGAAAGAAAACGCGCAGGUUAAUAACCUGUGCGGAUGACGGUACCGGAAGAAGAAGCACCGGCUAACUACGUGCCAGCAGCCGCGGUAAUACGUAGGGUGCGAGCGUUAAUCGGAAUUACUGGGCGUAAAGCGUGCGCAGGCGGUUUUGUAAGACAGAUGUGAAAUCCCCGGGCUUAACCUGGGAACUGCAUUUGUAACUGCAAGGCUAGAGUACGGCAGAGGGGGGUAGAAUUCCACGUGUAGCAGUGAAAUGCGUAGAUAUGUGGAGGAAUACCGAUGGCGAAGGCAGCCCCCUGGGUCGAUACUGACGCUCAUGCACGAAAGCGUGGGGAGC
rnacentral:rRNA from 1 species